UAUGAGUGCUUGUCGGUCUCGGUGCGGG
rnacentral:sRNA from 1 species